CCCCCUCCGGAGGAAUUGGCGGGUUCCAGCCCCUCGCUGAGCCUGACCUGCCUCGUGCGCGGCUUUUACCCCGAAUCCAUCGACGUCCAGUGGCAGAAGGGGCUGGAAAAGCUGGAGUCGGGCGUGGUGACGUCACCGCCGCGCCGGGAACUUCCGGGCCUGGCUUCCGGUGGGGGGGAGGGGCCCUACUUCCUGUAUUCCCGGCUGGAAGUGGCGCGGGACGAGUGGGAAAAGGGGGCGGGGCAAAGCUACGCCUGCACCGCCGUGCACGAGGCGCUGCCCCUGCGCUUCGUGCAGCGCACGCUCCGCCCACAGCCCGGUAAUUAGUUAAUUAGUCCCGUU